GAGGGGCAGAGUGAAGAGGUGGUCGUCUCCCGACUGGAGAACAUUAUUCCACCCACCUCAGGGACAUAUAACAGUGGUGCCGAAAGCCAGGAAGACUGACGUUAACCACCAGUGGAGUCCUCCCCACUCAAGAAUGUCACCUAUGCCCUUGCUGCCACCCAAGAAAGUCAGUACCAAGCCCUGAUCACCCUCCGCAAGGAGCAAGAGCAGCGCUGAAUCCAAUCACAAUGUUAUGGAAGGACCUGAAGCGAGCAGUUCAUGUGAGGAAACCCACCAACAUCCCAGAGUUGAAGCUGUUCUGUACGGAGGAACGGGCUAAAAUUCCUCCAAGUCGGUGUGCAGGACUGAUCAACAGUUACCGCAAACAUUUAGUUGCAGUUAUUGCUGCACAAGGGGGUCACACCAGAUACUGAAAGCAAAGGUUCACAUACUUUUGCCACUCACAGAUAUGUAAUAUUGGAUCAUUUUCCUCAAUAAAUAAAUGAGCAAGUAUAA